rfam:Loxodonta africana unplaced genomic scaffold scaffold_58, whole genome shotgun sequence.
GGUGGUGUAAUGGUUAAGUGUUCAGCUGCUAACUGAAAGGCUGGUGGUUCGAACCCACUCAGCAGCU